CUGGAAGCUUACUUUCCUUUGUAUCUUUAUAUUCCCGAAGACAUGGAAGUACUCAAGGUUCCAAGGCCACUAUGCUUUCUACUUCUCAUGCUACUCCUCCCGGUUCCUGGCUCUGAAGCUAGGACAUGCAAUGUGGCCAGCCAUACCUAUAAAAGUUUACAAUGCAGGAAUGGUCCAUGUGCGGAGGCCUGCCAAAAGGAGGGCUGUACUGAUGGAUGGUGUCACCUUAUCCAGACCCCUGUGUUCCGUUGUUUAUGUAGGAAAGAGUGUUGAAUAAAAACACGUUACAACAACUGUAGGAUGUGUUGCAAAAAAAGUAAUUGCGUACUUUGAAUAAUUGAGGAUGAUGAGUCAAUAAAAUGUUGCUCUUAAAGA